rnacentral:rRNA from 1 species
CUACUACCGAUUGAAUGGCUGAGUAGAGGCCUUCGAGACUGAGUCCAGGGAGGUCGGCAACGACCACCCAGGACCGGAAAGUUGGUCAAACUCCGUCAUUUAGAGGAAGUAAAAGUCGUAACAAGGUU